CAAGAAGAAAUUAAAACCAGAAUAUAUGAGCAAUACAUACAUUUGUUGGCUUGCAACACAAAUAUUUUGUUUGUAGUGAUCUGUCUUGGUUGCUGUAAAUAGCAGGAAUUUUCAUGGAAAGUGUUAGCCCCCUAUAAUAUCUCACUGUUUCAUUGAUCUCAUUUAUGCUAUCAGGAACAGCGAACCUUCUUUGACCUGAAGGUCAGUGUAGGAAUAUUAAUCUAAUGACCCCUCUAGAGAUGAAUAACAUUUUGCAUCAGGUAGUCAGAUUGUUCCUUCUGGAAAUAAAUGGUUCCAACAGGAAAUUUAUAAUCAUGGAUAAGUAAAAAGGUCAGAUUUUUCUGUAAUUCUUCAUAUUUGCAGCCAAAUAUGUGCUGCAGAUGCUAAUAACAUUUUUCUACCAUGUAAAAGAAGCUAUACAGGGAGGUUUUUUAACUACAUGACAUAUGUUUAACAACUAAAAAUUUUCCUCACAUCCAUCUGAAAUAAGUUUAUAACUGCGAACCAGGAUUAUUUAUUAAAUGUAUUUUUAUUGCUUCCACAUCUCUCAUUUUCAUAAACUGCCAUAUUAUUUUGUACAAAAGACUGCUUAAGAGUUUAUUAAAAAUUCAUUAGCCACAAAUAACCCAAACAAAUGAAGUGAAAUAAAAAAAACACCAAAAAAAACCCCCACCAAUAUAAAACUUCCUUUUAAGCUUAGACUUAGUUUCAUAUAAGAUUUUUUCAUUAUUCCUCAGUAAAUAUCAUGGACUUACAGGAAAAUUAUUUUACUUCCAUACAACAGUUACAAGAGUCAUUUUCCACCAUUUUUGCAUGAUUUUUUUUCUUGUAUAGAAUUCUUUCAUUUGGGUUAUGUUCUUUAAUUUUGAGCAGAGAAACAAGCCUGAAUUCAUUUAUUUUUGAAGUCACAACAGAUGAUCUGACCUUCUAACCAUAAACAUUGUUUCAUCAACCAGAGGAAAAAAAGUCAUGUGAGAAGAUUAGCACACCAUGGAAAAGUUUCCAGCCAAUUGUUAGUAAUUGUUAGACAUUUUGGUAAAAUUCAAAUAGAUACCCAUUUAAGAUAAGACACAUUUUUGAAUGCUCUUUUUUCACACAGGAAAUAUGUGAAGGUAUAAACAUUUUUUAUGUUAUGGGAUGCAACACAGAAUUGAUUUUUAGACCCAUAAUGAAUUUGUGGAUUUGCAAUGAGAAAAAUCAUCUUUUGACUUGUAAACAGAGGACCUGUUGAUCAAGGAAUUAUUAGAAGUAAUAAACACAGAAUUCUGCAAUUUCAUAUUGGAAAAUACAUAUUAAAUGUUAUAUCUAUUUCUUCCAAUUAUGGUGAUAAAUCUGCCAUUUAAUUUUUAGGGUUUUUGCUGAAAUUUGAAUGCCUGUGGUUCCCUAAAGAAUGUUUUUGCAAAAGAAAUGUUUCCUUGCUGUCAUAAUAAUUUCCUAACUUCUUAAAUCUUUUUACUACUGUUAGAUAUAAAUAACUUUAAAAUGAAAAAACAAACCCUAGGCUCAAUAACUCAGCAGACAAGUUUUAUGUGUGUUCUCUUUAAAUCCAGUGUGUAAAGAAAUAAAAGGUAAAGUUUCUGGUGAUUUUGAAUGAUCCCACUGUGAUGUCACAGUGGUAACAUCACAGUGCAGUUUUCCUGGGCAAUACCCUCUUUCACAGUGUUUACACACAUGUAUUCUACAAAUGGUUUCUCUGUUUGUGACACUUCAGAAUAUUUAAGAGAUUCUGUUACUUAGCUGCACUGCUACUGAGUAGAGUAGUAUAAAUCUCUGUUGUCACUUUGUGCUUCAUUUCCCUAAUCCUUUCAGUGCCACUGGAACAGUUUCAGGAUUCUUUUUCGAGAUUGCAUCCAAAGAGCCAUUUCCUUUUCUCGGCUGCAACCACCACAUUUCCAGCAGUGUCAUCAGAGCACAUGGCCCUGCCCCACAGCGUGUAAUUAUCAGUACAAGCCAGAAAGGUCCAGCUGUGAAAGUAGAAGGCUAGGGGUGCACAAGAAGCUGAGAAGGAACAUACCUGGGACAGCCAAGCUCAACUGACCAAAUGGAUAUUCCAGACCAUAUGGCAUCAUGCUGAGCACGUAAAGCCAGGGGGAGAAGAACAAAUUGGGAGAACUUCUGGAGAGAUGGCAUUUGUCUUCCCAAGCAAAUGAUAUGCAUGACAGAGUCCUGCUUUCCUAUAGAUGGCUGAACACCUGCUCAAGAGUUGCCAAGUUUCACAAGAACAGAGCCACAAUUUAAUGUAGAAAAUGGCAUCACUUCACUUGAUAGUGCUGAAGAGGAACUUCAAAUGCAUGAGUGAUUCCCAUGUUGCAACAAAGAUCUAUGUGAAACAUUUCAGAGAAGUUCUUUGUCACUGAAACUGCAGAACAGUGUCAGCAAGGGUAAACUGAAGAAUAGUCUCUAUGUUCCCCUGCUGAAACAAUCAGCAUGAUUUGAGGUCAUUGGAAAGCUGAGGAGAAAUCAGCAAAAGUAACACCUGUAUUUUUGCCAAACAAAAUUCCUGGAAGGCAUUUAAUGGAUAAACAGGGAAGGGCUUAGCAAGCUCUUUACAAUAUUCACUUAACUAAAGAUCAAAUAUCUUGAGGCUGGAGAAGAACCUUAUGUAUAAGUCAUCUGGGCCAUACCUAUCUUUUGAGUUAAGGCAUAUUAAGUCACAUGCAAGAAAAAGAAAAGCAUGUAUUAGUAAGUACAAAUAAACUUUUUUAAAAACCUGUCACUUGCCUUCCUCAUUUGUCUUGACUAUUUUUACAGGAGGAAAGAC